UAAAUGUUGACGUCAUUUGAUCGUGUUGACUUACAAGUUGGAUAUUUUUACAGCUGAAAGAGACAACAGUUCCAAUCACGUCGGCUAAGUUCAGCUGCUAUUAUGACGACUCCAAAUACAUGAGAAAAAGGAUUACUUGAUACAACUAAAGGUUACUGAUAUAACUACAGACAUUUCGUAUUGGAAGUAAAGUUAAAAUACGAAAGCACAAUAUAACCAAAGAAGCACACUGGGGUUGGCAGGAGUAGGCAGAGGUGUAACCCACUCACAUCUUAUUUCGCCAGAUAUAUUAAAUCUCAUGUAAGAGGUGGCGAGACCAUCACCACAGUAAAUACCUACGCAGUGAUCGGAUUUCGUAGGUUCAACCUCGUUACC